rnacentral:rRNA from 1 species
GCCGGCAGCUAGCUUUCUGCAACUCUCACAUGGUUGCCCACUGAAGCUAAGCAGGGCUGCGCCUGGUCAGUACCUGGAUGGGAGACCACAUGGAAAAGCUAGGUUGCUGCCGGAA